rnacentral:lncRNA from 1 species
CUAGUUAAACAAGUAAACCACUUAAUCCGUUUGUUUAACAGAGCCUACAUAAAUGGGCAAGAUCAGUGAGGCAAAUAAUUGAAUAGGGAAAAACAUUAAGCAUGUAGAAUUACAGAGAUGAAACAUCAAGCAAAGACACUAGUCGAACAGUAAAGAAGAAAAGCCAGAGUUGACCCUUUAGGCAUUUUAAAGCAUUUGCAGAAACUUAGAAAGUUGAAAUCCUAGUUUUUUUGGGAAAAACGAAAAUCGACCAACAAUUAUAAGAAAAACAACAUAAUACUAAAACAAAAGUAACAAACAAACUUGAACUAUUUUAGAUCUAAGGAGAUCUGAACAAUUUAACUAGAAAUAGUUAAGUCAUGCAAAAUAUAAACAAAGGUGAGAAAAUCUAGUUGGAACCAGAUAUUUGAAGCCAUGAACACGAAGAUAAAAGAACUUACAAACAUAGAGAUGAACAUAGGAAAGUAUAUCGAGAAAAAUGAAGAGUUGAAGCCAGCUCUGUGUUUAAUCUCUUUGAGAUCCCAUCAAACAACAAGGAAAUUGAAUAACAAUAGGGAUAUGAGGCCAGAUAUGGCCUAAAAUCAAAUGGAACCCUCAUGGAUUGAAGUAUUUCGGGAGGCUGCGGUCUAGGGUUAGGGGAGGGUUUGAGAGAGAAGAGAGAAGAGG